CCUACGGAGUGCAGCAGUGGGGGAUAUUGCACAAUGGGGGAAACCCUGAUGCAGCGACGCCGCGUGUGGGAAGACGGUCCUCUGUAUUGUAAACCACUGUCCCCAGGGACGAAGAUGACGGUACCUGGGGAGGAAGCUCCGGCUAACUACGUGCCAGCGGCCUCGGUAAUACGUAGGGAGCACGGGUUUUCCGGAAUUACUGGGUGAAAAGGGAGCGUAGGCGGGAUGGGAAGUUGGGUGUUAAAUCUACCGGCUAAACUGGUAGUCGCACUCAAAACUGCUAUUCUUGAGUGAAGUAGAGGCAGGCGGAAUGCCUAGUGUAGCGGUGAAAUGCGUAGAUAUUAGGAGGAACACCAGUGGCGAAGGCGGCCUGCUGGGCUUUUACUGACGCUGAGGCUCGAAAGUGUGGGGAGCAAACAGGAUUAGAUACCCUAGUAGUC
rnacentral:rRNA from 1 species